rnacentral:rRNA from 1 species
CAGCAGCCGCGGGAAUACGUAGGGUGCGAGCGUUAAUCGGAAUUACUGGGCGUAAAGCGUGCGCAGGCGGUUUUGUAAGACAGGCGUGAAAUCCCCGGGCUCAACCUGGGAAUGGCGCUUGUGACUGCAAAGCUAGAGUGCGGCAGAGGGGGAUGGAAUUCCGCGUGUAGCAGUGAAAUGCGUAGAUAUGCGGAGGAACACCGAUGGCGAAGGCAAUCCCCUGGGCCUGCACUGACGCUCAUGCACGGAAGCGUGGGGAGCAAACAGGAUUAGAUACCCCAGUAGUCCCUGUCUCUUAUAC